rnacentral:lncRNA from 1 species
GCUUCUUCCUUGGCCCUCCAAGAUGUAAAACACGCUUGAAUGGCAAUGGUAGGCCUGACAAGUUGUGGAUUAGAAGAGAGGAUUCGUAGGGAUGGGGACAGGGAACUGAGGACCAGGGAGGGUCUGCACGAGGCCAUGUGGGU